CAUAGGCUUACACAUACACACACACACACGCGCCUCCUUAUUGAGUUAUUAGCAUCCAUCUGCAUCACAUGACCAAACCAGUGCAGUCUUCUCUCUUGCACACAGCAACUAAUUCCUCUGACGCCUGACUUCUCUCUCAAAACACUAUCACUGUGUCGAACAUGUACACUUACAUUACAUAUCCAGUGGAGCAUACUAACCUCAUUCCUUUCUAACCUUCACACGUCCUCUCCAUUCAGGACCCACAUCUCACUACCAUGUAGAAUUGUUGUC